CUACGGGGCGCUGCAGGCGAGAAAACUUUGCAAUGUGCGAAAGCACGACAAGGUUAAUCCGAGUGGUUUCUGCUAAAGGAACCUUUUGACAGUCCUAGAAACACUGUUGAAUAAGGGGUGGGCAAGUUCUGGUGUCAGCCGCCGCGGUAAAACCAGCACCUCAAGUGGUCAGGAUGAUUACUGGGCCUAAAGCAUCCGUAGCCGGCUCUGUAAGUUUUCGGUUAAAUCUGUACGCUCAACGUACAGGCUGCCGGGAAUACUGCAGAGCUAGGGAGUGGGAGAGGUAGACGGUACUCGGUAGGAAGGGGUAAAAUCCUUUGAUCUAUUGAUGACCACCUGUGGCGAAGGCGGUCUACCAGAACACGUCCGACGGUGAGGGAUGAAAGCUGGGGGAGCAAACCGGAUUAGAUACCCCUGUAGUC
rnacentral:rRNA from 1 species